GACUUGUACUUUAUGCAGGUGUGUGAUCAGGGGCUGUAGCUGGUGGUCUGUGAGUUGACAGUGGCUGAGGUCCAGUUCUGACAGACCCUCUGAGUGUUCCAGAACCAGGGCCAGAGAUCCACAGGCCUUCUGGUCCAGCCUGGUCUCACUGAGGUCCAGCUCCCCAUCCAGGGCUCUGCAUAGGGACUCUGCAUGCCUUAGCAGCCCCUCUUCAAUCCCCUCACAUACAAGGUCCAGCAGCUGAAGUAGCAGAGCUUUGCUGGGACUGAGAGGACAAGAAGCAGAGUCAACAUUAUGACACAGAUCUCUUAGGAUGAUCUGGACCUGGUUCUGAACCAGCUGGGUGCCGAGUUGGUUCUGCUUCAGAACAGAGUUGAUGGCCUUGCAAUGGUCAGUGGUCAGACACAGAGCCUCCCCCUGGUCCUGAGCUGACAGGUCCACAGAGGAGGAGCAGGAGAAGUCCAGUCUGUGGUGCAGAGACCUGAGCAGCCAUACUGCUGUUGGUGGUGAUGAUGGUGCCCCCUGCUGGAUCUGAGAGGCAGCACAGCACUGGAGGAAACUCAGCAGUAACCUCCUGUCAACACUACAGAGAGAGAGAGAGAAACAGAGAAAGAGUGUGUGUGAGAGAGAGAGAGAGACUUAUUUACACACCAUCACACAUUAAAACACUGAUAAACACACUACAACUCUGGUUAUCAGGUCAACUCCCAGGAGUUCCCCUUCAAUUCCACCACUAGCCGAGGUUAAGGUUAGUACAUUACACUAAGGUUAGGGUAAGAGGUUAAAUCAGUCAGGAAGUGGAAAGCCUCAUAGUUCUAUCCAUUCUAGCAGGGUCAAAGAGUGCCAACUAAACCUGAGUUGGGAGACUCUGUCCAGAAGAGGCAGGAUGCUCUCUAUCUCCCCCGGUGGUAUGGAGGUCCACAGCAGGUUGACUUUGACUUGGUGGCUGUGCUGCAGGGUAAAACACAGAGCGGUACAGUCCACUCUGUCCAGCUCUCUGCUGUUCAGGUUGAUCCAAUGGUCUGAAGACCUCAACAAACUGGACACACAGUCACUGGCUCUACUGUCAUAGAUCUGUCUGAUGGAGGACUUUACAAAGCUGGAACUGGAC
ensembl:lncRNA